UUUUUUUUUUUGUCUUUUUUUUGUUUGUUUGUUUUUGUUGUUGUUGCUAUUUCUUGGGCCGCACCCGCGGCAUAUGGAGGUUCCCAGGCCAGGGGUCGAAUCGGAGCUGUAGCCACCGGCCUACACCAGAGCCACAGCAACGUGGGAUCCGAGCCGCGUCUGCAACCUACACCACAGCUCACGGCAACGCCGGAUCGUCAACCCACUGAGCAAGGGCAGGGAUCGAACCCGCAACCUCAUGGUUCCUAGUCGGAUUCAUUAACCACUGCGCCACAAUGGGAACUCCCUGAGUGCUUCUGACUCCUCAUCCAAGCCUCUUCCCACCGCCCUUCGCAGCCACUGGAGACACGUCAUGCGUUACACGACCUGCCUUCUACGGGGACGGUUUCCGCGGGUGUCACCCAGGCCCCUCCCAAUGCCCGUACCAGGCUCUACACACACCGCACGCAAAGCUCCACUCUGAGCGCUCUUCCACCUUCUCAGCACACCCCGUACACGCACACACAGCCCACAACCCACACGCACACAGCAUACAACCUCGCUCACAUACGUGCACUUGCACACGCACACUCCCAGCCCCCUUGGCACAGCACAGGUAACAUCCGCCUGAGUGAGACUAGGAUCUGGGCGGAGCAGAGGGAGCGUCCUCCCAGGAGGGGUGGCGGCUCGUGGCCGGGCGCUGUGGCCCGUCCUACGGUCUCAGCUGUCCGCGCUCUCGGGGGGCCUGCUGCCCUGCCAUGCAGCCUCGCUCCCUGUCCUCCACGUCCAGCGCUAUCUGCCAUCAUUUUUAUCUGCCUCCGCGGAUCUGUCCCCUCCCUUCCACGCUGGAAUGAGAGCUCUGUGAGGAUAGGGUAGGGAGGACGCCCAGCUGGGCGACAGAGCAGGGGCCCUGGAGCCGCCGACAAAGUGAAGGCGGUGCUUUGGUCCUACCCCAGGGCCCUAGCAUCUGUUGACUGUGCCUCGCUCUGCAGGUGAGCCCACAAAGGCCCCGAGAGACCAGAGCGUGCUCCAGGCCAAGGGACAGUCACUGAGGGGCCAGGACAGCCUGCGUCUGCCCCCACCUACCCUCUCCUGGAGUGACACUGCGGGACCCACAGCUGCUCCGAGCUGGUAUGAAACAGCUCCUCUCAGGCCCCUGGUGUGGGUGACUCUGGGGGCCUGCGUGGGGUCAGCCAUGCACUGGCUGGGGCGUGGGGAUCAAGCAGCCUCCUUCCUGCCGGGGGUGGGGAGAGCUCCCGGGACCAGCCCUCUCCUGCACGUCUGCCCAGGCUCCCCACUGCUCCCCUGGACAAGCUCCCCAUGGUCAGACCUGGAGCCGAGCCCCCCGCCCCGGGGUGAUUAAGAGGCGAGAUGCCCGGGUGGGUGAUGAUGGGGCCAGGCCGAGGGGAGCAGGCAGGGGCCCCGAAAGCCCGAAAGCCUCCUGGAAGGGAAGCAAAGAUGACAUAAAAUCCCAACUUAGAGGCUGGACACAGAAGCCCCAGCUGAGCAGGGAAGACGUUGGCGGGCAUCCCUCCGAACCCCUGCUGGGCUCUGAACCCACCCUCGCAGCCGUCGGGGAGAUGUUCGCCGUUCUUAGAACCUGUUUACUUUGGUGGAGUUGGGCCCCUGAGCCCCAGGAAGCAGAGGACUGGGGCUCUCAUUCCCAACUCUCCCCCCAAGGCCUACUGCAGAGCCUGGCGCAACGGCCACUCCGUAAAUACUUCCUGGCUGCUGACCUCCUCCACCUCCUUCUAUGUCCACUCCCCGAGCUGCUCAGGGACCCCAGAGGCAUGAAGACUGUGCCUGUCCCCGGAGUUCCUGGCAUGGUGGGGACAGGACUUGCCCCCACUCCCUCUCAGAAGCUUCCGGCCUGUCUGUGCGGCAGCUGGUGGGGACCCCGCUGUGGCAGCUGGGCUGGCACCGGAACCACCCAGGCCCCAGCCCGUCUCCUUUCAGAACUGGACUCUCUCCCCCGAAGGCCCUGGACACCAAAGACCACACGCAGCUGCGCUGGUUUCACAAGGCUGGGGUCAGUCCUGGGGUCCCAAGGAAAUUCAGUUUGUAACGUAUGUGAGCCCGUGACAGACGCAGGUAAUGGUCUGGCCGGUGGGCCGGCUGCUGGAGGGGGCUGGAGGGCCGUACCGGCUGGCCGGAGUCUGGGGGGUGAGGGGGCUGGAAUGUCUGGGAGGAAUUCAGGGGCGAAGGGGAAAAGCAGAGAGAAAAUGAACACGGCAAAGGCGAGAGAGUGGGUCGAGGCGGCAGGGGCAGAGGGUGGCAGAGGCCCAGCAGCAGGGAAUGUUCUAGGGGCAACAAUUGACAGGACAGUGGAAGAGAAAGGCUGAGGACUGGGGUGGGGGGCACGAGAGAGGUGCUGGAGGAGAGACAGGAGGAGGGACCCCACAGUGCAGCCUCCCUGGGGGCCCCAGGGGUCUGCGGGGCCACUGAGCCCCGUCCUCUGGUAGUGAGGGAGCCCCCGUGCAGGCCCGCUGGACCUGGUGGGACUCGGCCCCAGUCCCACACAGGCCCCCAGCUGCCGGCUCCCUUCUAACCUGUCCUGCCUCUGGCCCGGGGUCUAAGCUGGGUGCCAGGCACCGCCCAGAGCUGGCCCCAGGCCCUGCCAGCCUCCUCCCUCCCCCAGGAACCUGAUACUCUGCCCUGAGCUGCCUGCGGGUGGCCGUCCCCUGGACUCAGGACAGGAGACAGAGCGCACUUGGGCUGGGACCUCCAAGGACGCUGGCGUUUCGUGAUCCCCAAGUUGUGGGGCUUGGUGCCUGCCUGCUGGUGCAGUGGGCUGUGGGCACCUACCUGGCCCUGCCAGGGGGAGUAGAGAAGCUGUGGGCUCCUCCCUGCCCUCUGCUGACCUCCCAGCACACCACUGGGCUGUCAGCUUAGCCCAAGCCCGCAACACCCCCACCUCUGUGCAGAGAGGGUACGCGGCAGAGUUGGGGGCGCUGCAGCCACCCAGCUCUGCCAGCCUCCACGCUCUGCUCGUCUGAACAUCCUACAAUGGGCGGCCUUCCGUCCACACCCAGGGCUGGAUCUCCCCUUGGCCACCACUCCUUGCCACACUCAUUGCUCCUCCAGCUAGACACAGCUCCCUGCUCCCUGCUCUUGGCAGAGAAACCCACUCACCCCACAUGACAGGCCAGGACCCCUGGAUUUUGGAGGUGGGUUGCUUCCACUGUCCCCAACUCAAGGCUGCAGCUGACUUCUUGAUUGUGCAUGGUGCAGAAAGUGGCCUGAGGGCCCUCGCUUCUCACUAGAGUGUGAAUCUGGGGUUUGACUGCCUGGGCUCGAACCCAGGCUCUGCUCAUCAGAGGCUUCUGAGCCAGCCAUCAUUGAACUUUCUGUGCCUCAGUUUCCGUAACUAUAAAACGUGCACGUACACUCGGCAGGUUCAGGAACAUAAGCUGCCAAAGAGGAAGCUGGGAGGAACCUACAGAGUUACUCCAGCUACCAAACGAUGCCAGGCUAAGUUAGCUGUACCAUCAGGAUGGGGGUCUCAAGGCAUGGGCAGCUAGAACAGCACUACCCCUGGGCCCCUGGGGGUGGGGGCCGAGAGGGUUCCCUGACUAGGUAGCUUAAUUUAGAAUGAGGGUCGUGGGACCUCAACUGCUCGUCUGGUUAAAUUCUCCAGUUCACAGGAUAAUUUUUUAGGACAGGCCUCUGGCCCCUGGAACAGACCCCAAGGGCCCGUACUUCUGAAGAUGCAGGACAAGCUGUUGUUCUGUGCCCGCCCCGUCUCUGGCUGGGCUGUAUUCGCAGCCACGUUAUGGCACCACCAACAAGCGGGUCUCAGGCAGGGCUCCUGGAAUCACACCAUGGUGACGGCCCAGGCACAGAGGCGAAAUGCCCAAGAACGCACAGAAGGUGUAAGAAGCAGUACCACGUUCGCUACAGUAAUGAAUCCUUAUUAAAAAUUCCUGUGACUAGCAGCCUUGUUACCCCAAGGAGAAUGAUUACUAAUAAGAGCAGUUUCUUAACGGAUCUCAAAACAGACCCUAGAAUUCCCUGCCCUCCCCUCAGGGCAUCUGGAGUCCACACACCGAGGGAGUAACUUUUGCCAUCAACCCCAGGAAGUAAUCUGCCUUGCACCAAGAAGCUGGGUGAAACACCACAUCCUCCACGCAAACUUGCGGCGACGGGCAAUGUGCAGGCCGACAGCCAAGGGUGUGAUUCCACCCGGGUUAAGAACACAGAGACGGCUAGACGGCUAGAACUCAAAGCACAGCCAUCAGGAAGGCCCACGUGCUCCCAGUCCUGCGGGCUGCUCCACCUCUGACUGGCAACCGCCAGGACGGGCCCUCCGCUCCAUCGCCAACGCUCCUUUUGAGAAAACUUAAGGCCCUUACACCGCUCUCUCCCUCCGAGUGAUUUCCUGGCUUCCCACUCAGAUGUAGUGAUAAGAUUCUCUUUUAUAGGACACUGCAGCUUAAUAAUAAGUAAUUACCGUGACGAAAAUUCCAUCGUGUGGGCUUGCGGGUUUUUCUUUCCACUCUCUACAACUUUCUUCCACUGAAGCCCCGUCUAGGGUCUCGUGGGGACUCUUGCUGACAUUCUGGAUUUCCAGAUGAGGUCCUUCUUCCUCUGAAAGGUGACCCCGCCCCUCGCCGGCUGCAAUGCACCAGGACAAGAGCCUCCCUGCCUCCCAGCCCCAGGUCCCGCCAGGGUCCUGGGCUGCCCUGGAGGGGGCGGAGGUACUCAUGGAGCCAGAGCCCCCAGGUGGGAAAACCAAAGCCAGGCCUUCCAGAGAGCAACACGAGCAGGGCCCGGGGCCCCUCAGGUGAGCUCUGAACAAGUAACGGAGCCCAAACUGCAGCUGGAUUUCUCCUGGUGUCGGCUGACCCGAAGUCAUGCCUCGGAUGGUUAAAGCUCUGAAAAUCAGCAGCACAGCUGAGGAGGGACGCCGGACAACACGCUCCUCCAAUUCAUUACAGAGCUGCGGCGUCUCAGAGGGACCCCAGCCCCAUGCUCACACACUCGGGGUCCAGCACAUGCCGCGGGGAAGGGGGAUGCGUUAAUAGAGAGAACGGAAUUCUCUUGGUGGAGCUUUUAUUUUCCAAUUUCCAGUUCGGAAGACUGUAUGUUUCAAAAGCUUGCCUGUUUAAACGCUGCAUCUUAAUGCGCCCAGAACGACGUCUCUUGUCUUGCUUGAUUUCACGUCUUUUGCUCCUGCUCCUGUUAUCAAACGUGUGUUGAGAUUGAAUACACAGCCUACAUAUGGCACCAAGGCUCGCUCAUGCGAAAGACCUGCAACCCCUCGGUGGGCGGGAGCCUGCAGGGAGCCCGGGCCGGGCCGCCCUGAGCCCCUCCUCCCGUGGCUUCUACUUCCAGGGCAUGUGGGAGGCUCUGUCUCACUGCAGCGGUGCUUUGGGACAAGUGGGGUCUUCAACUAAGUCAUUAUUCAUUUUGUAUAGGACCUGGACCAAUACAUGUGCUCCUACAAAAACGCUUCCCCACAAACAGCAAGAAAUGGCUGCAUUCUAGAUCUUUCUCAGCCCGCUGAGACACACGGCCGUUCCCUGCGGAAGAGCUGUGGCCAAAACCGGGUACUUCAAAGCCUGGCCCAAGAUGCACACUCUGGCUUUCCCACCAGCCAUUCUACCCAUGGCUGUUACCCUUUAGGGAUGGGUCUGGCUUGUCUGAGGUCUUUCUGCCAUCCAGCUGCCCCACAGGAAGCUCCAAACGCCACCAGUGGGGGAUGCGACCACCCAGCACUGAGGAAUCCGGUGCCCUCGCCUCUGGUCGCUUUGGUGCGUUCACCCCAACUACGAGCACCGGUCUGACACCAUUAAGGCAAUGCCAAACGUUUGUCUGGCAUUUUCCGAGGCUGCUGCUUCAUGUUAAGCUGACCAUCCCAUUCAGCCUAGGGCUGAUGGCACUUCUGCCCUUUCUCACAGGAAGAGAGGUGAGCGGACUCGCCUAACACAGCCAAUAAGCUGUGGGUUGAUCUCCAAUUCUAUACUUUGCCUAUGGAAGCCUCUUUCUGCAGCCCAGAGCGCUCCUGCCAUGUGCUUGGGGUGGGCAGAUCCUGGCUCCUUUGAGUGGUUGGCCCCAUGACCACCUGGGAGUUUGUUAGAAAUGCAGAUUCAUGGGCCCCACCCCAGAGAUUUCCAAGGGAUUCCUGCGCCCAAGGAAAUCUAGGCGGCACUGGAAGGCCGAUCUACGAGGCCCACCCUGUGACUCAGUGACGAUGGGGAAUUCGGGAGUCGGCCUCGACCUGGGCUCGGAUGCCUGCCGUCUGUGGGUACGGGGGUCUCUCAGCAGCUCUUGUGGCCACUGAGCUGUGUCCGGGAGUUCCCAGACGUCACCGGUGGUCCUAGGGAGGGUGGCACCAAAGACCAAGGGCUCCAGGUCGCAGGCCACUUCCAAGCACCCUCUGCUCCUGACUGUGCAGUCAAGUCAGUGCCCUGUCCCUUCCUCUGCAGUUGCUGACAUCUGGGAAUUUCUACGGCGUGGGUCCUUGUAAGGGGCCGACCCCAGGCGCCCAGCGGUCUGGGGACUCAGAGCUGCCCUGGCUCAGCUGAGGGCCCCUUCUUUGUCUACUGUGUCCCUAGCUCCUGCCGAGCCGCCUCGGAUGGCUCUUUCUUGGCUCCCUGGAGAGCCCAAAGGGUCACAAAAAGAGGAGAAUCCA
rnacentral:lncRNA from 1 species